rnacentral:rRNA from 1 species
GAUGAACGCUGGCGGCGUGCUUAACACAUGCAAGUCGAACGAUGAAGCCCAGCUUGCUGGGUGGAUUAGUGGCGAACGGGUGAGUAACACGUGAGUAACCUGCCCUUGACUCUGGGAUAAGCGCUGGAAACGGAGUCUAAUACCGGAUACGACCUGCCCCGGCAUCGGGUGCGGGUGGAAAGUUUUUCGGUAAAGGAUGGACUCGCGGCCUAUGAGCUAGUUGGUGAGGUAAUGGAUCACCAAGGCGACGACGGGUAGCCGGUCUGAGGGGGUGACGAGCCACACUGCGACUGAGACACGGCCCAGACUCCUACGGGAGGCAGCAGUGGGGAAUAUUGCACAAUGGGCGAAAGCCUGAUGCAGCUACGCCGCGUGGGGUAUGACGGCCUUCGGGUUGUAAACCUCUUUUAGUAGGAAAGAAGGGCUUCGGCUUGACGGUACCUGCAGAAAAAGCACCGGCUAACUACGUGCCAGCCGCCGCCGUAA